AGAGACUAAGCACAUAAUAAUUCCAUUUAUGUAACAUUAUAUUAUAUAUAUAUGUGUGUGUGUAUGUGUGUGUAUAAUAUAUAUAUACACACACACACAUCUCUGUUAAUAUAUGAGAAGCAUA
rnacentral:miRNA from 1 species